GAUGAAGAACGUAGUGAAAUGCGAUACGUAAUGUGAAUUGCAGAAUUCAGUGAAUCGUCGAGUCUUUGAACGCACAUUGCGCCCCCUGGUAUUCCGGGGGGCAUGCCUGUCCGAGCGUCAUUGCUGCCCUCAAGCACGGCUUGUGUGUUGGGCCUCCGUCCUCCUCCCGGGGGACGGGCCCGAAAGGCAGCGGCGGCACCGCGUCCGGUCCUCGAGCGUAUGGGGCUUCGUCACCCGCUCUUGUAGGCCCGGCCGGCGCUUGCCGACACAUCAAUCUUUUUUCCAGGUUGACCUCGGAUCAGGUAGGGAUACCCGCUGAACUUAAGCAUAUCAAUAAGCGGAGGA
rnacentral:misc_RNA from 1 species